rnacentral:piRNA from 1 species
UGAGUGCAUAGACCCUGGACCCUUUGACUC